GACGAACGCUGGCGGCGUGCUUAACACAUGCAAGUCGAACGGAAAGGCCCUGCUUUUGUGGGGUGCUCGAGUGGCGAACGGGUGAGUAACACGUGAGUAACCUGCCCUUGACUUUGGGAUAACUUCAGGAAACUGGGGCUAAUACCGGAUAGGAGCUCCUGCUGCAUGGUGGGGGUUGGAAAGUUUCGGCGGUUGGGGAUGGACUCGCGGCUUAUCAGCUUGUUGGUGGGGUAGUGGCUUACCAAGGCUUUGACGGGUAGCCGGCCUGAGAGGAUGACCGGCCACAUUGGGACUGAGAUACGGCCCAGACUCCUACGGGAGGCAGCAGUGGGGAAUAUUGCACAAUGGGCGGAAGCCUGAUGCAGCAACGCCGCGUGCGGGAUGACGGCCUUCGGGUUGUAAACCGCUUUCGCCUGUGACGAAGCGUGAGUGACGGUAAUGGGUAAAGAAGCACCGGCUAACUACGUGCCAGCAGCCGCGGUGAUACGUAGGGUGCGAGCGUUGUCCGGAUUUAUUGGGCGUAAAGGGCUCGUAGGUGGUUGAUCGCGUCGGAAGUGUAAUCUUGGGGCUUAACCCUGAGCGUGCUUUCGAUACGGGUUGACUUGAGGAAGGUAGGGGAGAAUGGAAUUCCUGGUGGAGCGGUGGAAUGCGCAAAUAUCAGGAGGAACACCAGUGGCGAAGGCGGUUCUCUGGGCCUUUCCUGACGCUGAGGAGCGAAAGCGUGGGGAGCGAACAGGCUUAAAUACCCUGGUAGUCCACGCUGUAAACGGUGGGUACUAGGUGUGGGGUCCAUUCCACGGGUUCCGUGCCGUAGCUAACGCUUUAAGUACCCCGCCUGGGGAGUACGGCCGCAAGGCUAAAACUCAAAGGAAUUGACGGGGCCCCGCACAAGCGGCGGAGCAUGCGGAUUAAUUCGAUGCAACGCGUAGAACCUUACCUGGGUUUGACAUGGAUCGGGAGCGCUCAGAGAUGGGUGUGCCUCUUUUGGGGUCGGUUCACAGGUGGUGCAUGGCUGUCGUCAGCUCGUGUCGUGAGAUGUUGGGUUAAGUCCCGCAACGAGCGCAACCCUUGUUCACUGUUGCCAGCACGUUAUGGUGGGGACUCAGUGGAGACCGCCGGGGUCAACUCGGAGGAAGGUGGGGAUGACGUCAAGUCAUCAUGCCCCUUAUGUCCAGGGCUUCACGCAUGCUACAAUGGCUGGUACAGAGAGUGGCGAGCCUGUGAGGGUGAGCGAAUCUCGGAAAGCCGGUCUCAGUUCGGAUUGGGGUCUGCAACUCGACCUCAUGAAGUCGGAGUCGCUAGUAAUCGCAGAUCAGCAACGCUGCGGUGAAUACGUUCCCGGG
rnacentral:rRNA from 1 species